AGCGAACGCUGGCGGCAGGCUUAACACAUGCAAGUCGAACGAUCCUUCGGGAUAGUGGCGGACGGGUGAGUAACACGUGGGAACGUGCCUUUAGGUUCGGAAUAACUCAGGGAAACUUGAGCUAAUACCGGAUGUGCCCGUUCGGGGAAAGAUUUAUCGCCUUUAGAGCGGCCCGCGUCUGAUUAGCUAGUUGGUGGGGUAAUGGCCUACCAAGGCUACGAUCAGUAGCUGGUCUGAGAGGAUGAUCAGCCACAUUGGGACUGAGACACGGCCCAAACUCCUACGGGAGGCAGCAGUGGGGAAUCUUGCGCAAUGGGCGAAAGCCUGACGCAGCCAUGCCGCGUGAAUGAUGAAGGUCUUAGGAUUAGUAAAUUCUUUCACCGGGACGAUAAUGACGGUACCCGGAGAAGAAGCCCCGGCUAACUUCGUGCCAGCCGCCGC
rnacentral:rRNA from 1 species